GCAGUGGUGGUUCAGUGGUAGAAUUCUUGCCUUCUAUGCAGAAGAACCAGGUUCAAUUUCUGCCCAAUGCA
rnacentral:tRNA from 1 species